CGUCCCCUGCUGUGUGCGUGUUGCUCACAGUCGCGUAACCCUAUUGGUCAUCAAGGGAUCCGAUCUCCAGCAGAUGGGGCGACCGGCGCCCUGUGCAAUGGUAGCCCUGUCGGGUAGGAACCCACCUGCGAUUCGCGGGUUAUGACCACCGUAGCACACGGCAUGGUGGGGGAAGU
rnacentral:other from 1 species